GGAGAGAUGGCUGAGUUGGUCGAAGGCGCACGACUGGAAAUCGUGUAUGGCAGGAAUGUCAUCAAGGGUUCGAAUCCCUUUCUCUCCGCCA
rnacentral:tRNA from 2 species